GAGACAGGUGGUGCAUGGUUGUCGUCAGCUCGUGUCGUGAGAUGUUGGGUUAAGUCCCGCAACGAGCGCAACCCUUAUGGUCAGUUACUACGCAAGAGGACUCUGGCCAGACUGCCGUUGACAAAACGGAGGAAGGUGGGGAUGACGUCAAAUCAUCAUGCCCUUUAUGACUUGGGCUACACACGUACUACAAUGGCGUUAAACAAAGAGAAGCAAGACCGCGAGGUGGAGCAAAACUCAGAAACAACGUCCCAGUUCGGACUGCAGGCUGCAACUCGCCUGCACGAAGUCGGAAUUGCUAGUAAUCGCAGAUCAGCAUGCUGCGGUGAAUACGUUCCCGGGCCUUGUACACACCGCCCGUCACACCAUGAGAGCCGGGGGGACCCGAAGUCGGUAGUCUAACCGCAAGGAGGACGCCGCCGAAGGUAAAACUGGUGAUUGGGGUGAAGUCGUAACAAGGUAGCCGUAGGAGAACCUGCGGCUGGAUCACCUCCUUUCUAAGGA
rnacentral:rRNA from 1 species